GACGAACGCUGGCGGCGCGCUUAACACAUGCAAGUCGAACGGAAAGGCCUGCUUUCCCUUGUGGAUUGCGGGUACUCGAGUGGCGAACGGGUGAGUAACACGUGAGUGAUCUGCCCCCAACUUGGGUAUAAGCCUGGGAAACUGGGUCUAAUUCCCGAUAGGACUGCAGGGUGGUGCCUGUGGUGGAAAACGAUUUUCUAGUGGUUGGGGAUGAGCUCGCGGCCUAUCAGCUUGUUGGUGGGGUAAUGGCCUACCAAGGCGGCGACGGGUAGCCGGCCUGAGAGGGUGGACGGCCACAUUGGGACUGAGAUACGGCCCAGACUCCUACGGGAGGCAGCAGUGGGGAAGAUUGCACAAUGGGCGGAAGCCUGAUGCAGCGACGCCGCGUGGGGGAUGACGGCCUUCGGGGUGUAAACUCCUUUCGACCGCGAGGAAGCCACCUGGUUGGAAGGGUGGUGACGGUAGUGGUGGAAGAAGCACCGGCUAACUACGU
rnacentral:rRNA from 1 species